GACGAACGCUGGCGGCGUGCUUAACACAUGCAAGUCGAACGGAAAGGCCCUGCUUUUGUGGGGUGCUCGAGUGGCGAACGGGUGAGUAACACGUGAGUAACCUGCCCUUGACUUUGGGAUAACUUCAGGAAACUGGGGCUAAUACCGGAUAGGAGCUCCUGCUGCAUGGUGGGGGUUGGAAAGUUUCGGCGGUUGGGGAUGGACUCGCGGCUUAUCAGCUUGUUGGUGGGGUAGUGGCUUACCAAGGCUUUGACGGGUAGCCGGCCUGAGAGGGUGACCGGCCACAUUGGGACUGAGAUAAGGCCCAGACUCCUACGGGAGGCAGCAGUGGGGAAUAUUGCCCAAUGGGCGGAAGCCUGAUGCAGCAACGCCGCGGGCGGGAUGACGGCCUUCGGGUUGGAAACCGAUUUCGCCUGUGACGAAGCGUGAGUGACGGUAAUGGGUAAAGAAGCACCGGCUAAACACGUGC
rnacentral:rRNA from 1 species